GCUGUUUUCGUGUGGUUCCUUGAUAAAUCUGAUACUCAAGCACCAUAUGAAAUCAGUAU
rnacentral:pre_miRNA from 1 species